rnacentral:rRNA from 1 species
AUGAGUACAAGGACGUGGAGGCCCACGGCAACACCAAGUUGCACGUCAUCCACACCAACGACAAGAAGCAGAUGGCGAUCACCCUCGCGCAAACAAACACGAGAGAGCAGAGGAGAGUCAUGGCGGAUGCACCUCUUUACAAGUAGCGCCGCAGGUACACCAGGGAGCUCCACGACGUCGACUUCCACGGCAACCACAAGCUCCACGUCGUUUGCACAAGCAAGGGUGAAGACGUGGACAAGAUGCUGUCCACGCUCAGGAGGAAGCUCGGCGGAAUGCCCGUCAAACUAG